UACAAAAACAUUGCUAAGGCUGAUGUCAGAGCGAUUACUGCCUGUGUUUUCCCUUAGGAGUUUUGUGGUGUCAGGUCUCACAUUUAGUUCAGUUUUCAAAGCUUUUGAGAUGCUAUUUGGAUCCACUUCAAGUGUGUAUUCUCCUGGGGUCGGUCUGUUCACCGUCUGCACUGGAGCUCAGUUCUCAAAGCCUUUGGUAUGUAUGCUCUUCGUCAGUAUGACUUUAUCGGAUUCUAUCCCUGAGCCACACCUUCUCCAGCUCUCAGGGUCCCCUUUCUUGGCCCUUAGGUUAGAAAUCUGAGGCUUAGGACUCCCUCUACAGUUUCAGCCCUCCCAUGCCUGGUCUACCUCCAGGAUGAAAUGGUGAGAAGAAAAAAAGGAGGAGUGAUUAACAGGAAUUUCCCACACACACUUUGACCCCUUUUCCUUGAUUUGCAUUCCAUAGAGAAAGACUUUUCUACUCCUGGGGUUUUAGGUGUUUGCCCCGCUGCUGGUACUGCUGUGAGCCCCACCUUUGAGACUGGGGCUUGCCUCGGGCGGGAUAGGGCUGGGAGAGGGAUUUUUAAAAAAAGAAAAAAAAAAAACAACAUCAUUUCUUCUUCUCUCUCUGGCCCCAAAGGACCCCCUUCCUUGGCCUCUCAUCAAAAAGGGAGAGUUUCUUCUGAAGCUUUUUCUGUUCACACCUGCUGUGCAAUUCUGGGGUUUGGCCUCCCCGAGUCUAGGCUGGAAAACAUGCAAGGGAAAAAUAAACCAGGAAACAUACUGCCAUAUUAAUCUUCAAGCUGUUUGUUUGGUUGGUUGGUUUUUGCUGUUGUUUUUAAUUCAAGUUUUAAUUUCCCUCCCAAUUUGCCUGCUAGAAUUUACUCUUCAAAGUCCGCACAUAGUUGCUUUAUGAAUUCUGUCCAUCACCUUUAGUUAUAAUCAGAG
rnacentral:lncRNA from 1 species